UUUUAUAGCACUAGCAUCAUGAAGCAAUCUAUGGCACUUCUUCUGACCAUCCUAGGAGUCAUUGUACUGGCACAAUCCAAAAGCAUUCUGGUGGAGAGCGAAGACGUAUUACUGGGAGGAGCAGAGGAAUUGGAAGCUGAUAAUAGCGUUGAUCUGGAGGAGGAGCUCAUAGGAUCAGACAUUAAGCUCGCCCCAGGCGGCGGUAAUCCAUGGGGUCGCAAAUGAAAGAACGGUUCCUCCACACCACCUCUCUAUCCUCCUCCAGUCCUUCAACUAUCUCACUACAUCUCUGCUCUUUAUGUAGUUUUUCUUAGUUCUUUAGACGUACUCAGAUAAAUGUCAUCCUGAUAGGUUAUGAACAAAAUCUCUCAAGAAAAUGUGAAAACGAUGAAAAAAACUGAAAUUAUCAUCCUCUGAUCUCUUGCUAUGAAAUAGCUAACAAGUUUUUAUCUUUUUUAGCGCCACGUGUUAUUUUAACAAAUAGUUAUUUUAUCGUAGUAAUGCCAUGGUAACGUGACGUAGUUUUUAAAGAGAAAAAAAGCAUCCAAUGUAUAUUUGUUGAACAUUGUGCAAAAGCUCUUUCAAGGGGUUGUUGAAAAGUUCCUCAUAUAUAUAAUGCGAUUGUGCAUGUGAUAAUUUUUUGCCCAAAAUUUGUCUGUCUGGAACAGAAUGUGUGUUAUUUGUGGGCAUUGAUUUUAAUGGUUUUAUCCACUUCUCAUAUGCGCUCAUGUUUCAACCGAGGUUUUAGUUUUCCUAAUAUUAUGAUUAUUUCAUGAUUUUCUAAUAUCAUAACCAUAGUUGAUUCGUAGAAACAUUUUUCUUUCAGCACCAUCUUUAAAAAGCAUACGAAGUUUCGUUAAGUUUGCUUAAUUUUCUUAGUCGGUGUAUAGUUUUAGUUUGAAAAAGUUGAUUUUUGGCUAAAAAUUUGAAAACAGUUUAAUCAGUCAACUAUUUGCUAUAACUUGUCAUAUUGAAA